UACAGAGGUCCCAAGCGUUGUUCGGAUUCAUUGGGCGUAAAGGGCGCGUAGGCGGCGGGGUAAGUCUGGUGUGAAAUCUCGGAGCUCAACUCCGAAAUUGCACUGGAUACUGCUCUGCUUGAGGGUUGGAGAGGAGAUCGGAAUUCACGGUGUAGCAGUGAAAUGCGUAGAUAUCGUAAGGAAGACCAGUGGCGAAGGCGGGUCUCUGGACAGUUCCUGACGCUGAGGCACGAAGGUCAGGGGAGCAAACGGG
rnacentral:rRNA from 1 species